UACAGAGGUCUCAAGCGUUGUUCGGAUUCAUUGGGCGUAAAGGGCGCGUAGGCGGCCGAUCAAGUCGGAGGUGAAAUCCCUCGGCUCAACUGAGGAAUUGCCUUCGAUACUGUUCGGCUUGAGUCCUGGAGAGGGUAGUGGAAUUCCCGGUGUAGCGGUGAAAUGCGUAGAGACCGGGAAGAACACCAGUGGCGAAGGCGGCUACCUGGACAGGUACUGACGCUGAAGCGCGAAAGCUAGGGGAGCAAACAGG
rnacentral:rRNA from 1 species